UACAGAGGGUGCAAGCGUUGUUCGGAAUUACUGGGCGUAAAGGGCGCGUAGGUGGCCUUCUAAGUUGAACGUGAAAUCCCUGGGCUCAACCCAGGAACUGCGUCCAAGACUGGGAGGCUUGAAUCCGGGAGAGGGAUGCGGAAUUCCAGGUGUAGCGGUGAAAUGCGUAGAUAUCUGGAGGAACACCGGUGGCGAAGGCGGCAUCCUGGACCGGGAUUGACACUGAGGCGCGAAAGCCAGGGGAGCAAACGGG
rnacentral:rRNA from 1 species